GCGUUCAUCUCAAUCCCCUUUCAGAAACCCUGUCACCGUCGAAGAAACCCUUCAAAGCUUACCAUCGCGAAGAAACCCUCUCGCUACAGAAACCCUCUCACUCACCACUCAUCGUCGCUCCUCUUCACCCUCCUCCUCGUUGCUGCGCCGCCCUCACCAGCGUCAUCUCUGCGCUUCUCAUCGUCCUUCCCCUUUCAAUUCAAUCGAGUAACCCUCAUUUCUGCGCUAUAUACUGAGCUUAAUGAAUAUUUUUUCUUUGAUUCAUCACCAAUUCACGCUACCUGUACAAACUCGCGCGCCUUCUCCUUCGAUUCGUCGCCGCUGCUCAUCUCUUCUUCAAGGGUUUUCACCUUCGAUUCGUCGUCGCUCAUCUCUUGUUCACCGUUGCCAGUCAUCACCGCGCUCACCAAUGUCAAAGAAACUGUAUGCUCUCUAGCGACCUCUUCUCUACUCUACUGUGAAGCAUCAAGGUUUCCAAUGAGGCAAAGCAUCGAUCCCUAACAAGCGAGGUAAGCGCCCGAUGAUGAUGAUGGUUCUGUGAAAUUUGGGAG